rnacentral:rRNA from 1 species
UGGGGAAUUUUGGACAAUGGGGGAAACCCUGAUCCAGCCAUCCCGCGUGUGCGAUGAAGGCCUUCGGGUUGUAAAGCACUUUUGGCAGGAAAGAAACGUCAUGGGUUAAUACCCCGUGAAACUGACGGUACCUGCAGAAUAAGCACCGGCUAACUACGUGCCAGCAGCCGCGGUAAUACGUAGGGUGCAAGCGUUAAUCGGAAUUACUGGGCGUAAAGCGUGCGCAGGCGGUUCGGAAAGAAAGAUGUGAAAUCCCAGAGCUCAACUUUGGAACUGCAUUUUUAACUACCGGGCUAGAGUGUGUGAGAGGGAGGUGGAAUUCCGCGUGUAGCAGUGAAAUGCGUAGAUAUGCGGAGGAACACCGAUGGCGAAGGCAGCCUCCUGAGAUAACACUGACGCUCAUGCACGAAAGCGUGGGGAGCAAACAGG